GCGCCGGUGGUGUAAAGGCGUAGAGCAUUCCCGCCCGGUCAGAGGGAGGUGCGGGUUCGAGUCCCGCCUGGCGUU
rfam:Heligmosomoides polygyrus genome assembly, scaffold: HPBE_scaffold0002091